UACGUAGGGUCCGAGCGUUAAUCGGAAUUACUGGGCGUAAAGAGCUCGUAGGUGGUUUGUCGCGUUGUCCGUGAAAACUCACAGCUUAACUGUGGGCGUGCGGGCGAUACGGGCAGACUGGAGUACUGCAGGGGAGACUGGAAUUCCUGGUGUAGCGGUGGAAUGCGCAGAUAUCAGGAGGAACACCGGUGGCGAAGGCGGGUCUCUGGGCAGUAACUGACGCUGAGGAGCGAAAGCGUGGGGAGCGAACAGG
rnacentral:rRNA from 1 species